UGGGGAUAAAGGAUUUGCAGUCCCCUGCCUUACCACUUGGGCCAUGCCGCC
rnacentral:tRNA from 1 species